rnacentral:lncRNA from 1 species
GCUAUAGAUAGAUGACUAAGGAUGAUAUGCGAGUCACAUUUUUUUUAACAAUCUCUUAAACAUUUCCUUCAAUACAUCUACCCAGCUAAAAGGUUUAUCUUGCACGAUUCUGAUACUUUUAUUCCAAAAUGGAAAACAUUAGCAACCCAAACUGUGUCCUGUGAAGUAAUGAUUAUCCCACAUGAUGGUUCUGCUUCCAAUUUGUUCUUUUGUGAGCUGAAAAUGCUGCAUGUUUUCCAAACUCACACAGAGCUUAAUCAGCUGGAGGAGGAGGAAGAGCAAAGACUCCAGCCACUGACCGCAUCUGUACAUGCUGACUUGCUAAUUUGA